AGUAAAUAAAGAUGCCACAGAGGAUUAAAAAAACAUGGACUCUUCAGAAGAGGUAAUCAUCUUCACUCGAGAUUCUGUGUGCCAAAGUCACCGGAUGACACAAUCUUGUGAACAUAGCCAUACUGAGAAAUACAGAGAGUUGUGUGGAGCUGAUAGUCUUUAUUA